UUGAAUCCGGGAUUGUACUUUAAAUCAACGAUGAGUGAGGAGAAAAUUGCUAAAGUGUGGGAGAGUUACUACACUUGUGUUGAGACGAUGGUCCCCGAUCUUUCCACACAAGAUUUACUACUUGCUGAGCUUGCUAAGUACAAAAGUGCGGAUGGAUUGUUUGGUUCUGGUCAAGCUAGAGCCAGAGACACGAGGUCACCGGUUGAGUGGUGGUCCCUAUUAGGGAGCGGAACUCCAAAUUUGCAAAGAUUUGCCAUAAGAGUUCUGAGUUUAACUUGUAGUGCAUCUGGAUGCGAGCGGAACUAGAGUGUCUUUGAACAUAUUCAUUCCAAAAAGAGAAAUAGGCUUGAGUUAUCGCGUCUCAAUGAUCUAGUGUACGUUAAGUACAAUAGAACAUUGGCACGUCGCUAUGAUAUUCGCGAUACCAUCGAUCCUAUAUGUUGGAAAAUAUUGAAGAUGUGAAUGAAUGGUUACUUGUUGGCCCUGAAGAUCAAGAAGAUGAACUAAUGUUUGAGGAAGGUGAUCUUAAUUGGGGUACUGUUGCUAUGGCAGCUGGGGUUGAUGAUGAUAUUGUCUAUAGUCUUAGAAGAAAGUCAAGGUCAAGGUCACUUGACAAGGGAAAAGCGACAAGUUCAAGUCAGACUCGAGCCCUAGUUGAUGAAGAAACCAAAGAGGAAGAAGAUGAGGGACAAUAUAAUGAACUGCAUGUCGGAAUUGAAGAUUAUGCAAACCUUGAAA